UACGUAGGUGGCAAGCGUUGUCCGGAUUUGUUGGGUUUAAAGGGUGCGUAGGCGGCUUUGUAAGUCAGUGGUGAAAUAUGGCAGCUCAACUGUCAGGGUGCCAUUGAUACUGCGGAGCUUGAGUACAGAUGAGGUAGGCGGAAUUGACAGUGUAGCGGUGAAAUGCUUAGAUAUCGUCAAGAACACCGAUAGCGAAGGCAGCUUACUAGGCUGUAACUGACGCUGAGGCACGAAAGUGUGGGGAUCAAACAGG
rnacentral:rRNA from 1 species